rnacentral:rRNA from 1 species
CACGGGGGGAGCAAGCGUUGUUCGGAAUCACUGGGCGUAAAGGGCGUGUAGGCGGUCAAGUAAGUGGAAUGUGAAAGCCCCCGGCUUACCCGGGGAUCUGCAUCCCAAACUGCUUGGCUUGAGUACGGGAGAGGAUAGGGGAAUUCCUGGUGUAGCGGUGAAAUGCGUAGAUAUCAGGAGGAACACCGGUGGCGAAGGCGGCAUCCUGGACCAACACUGACGCUGAGGAGCGAAAGCCAGGGGAGCAAACGGG